rfam:Dictyostelium fasciculatum unplaced genomic scaffold Scf_ET2XIPL01COFD4-5, whole genome shotgun sequence.
GCGUCCAUGGUUAAAUGGUAUAAUAUUUCCCUUCCAAGGAAGUGUCCCGGGUUCGAUUCCCGGUGGACGCA